CGGCUUUCGGAGAAAACCGUCGAAGUUAAAAGAGUCUGGCUCGAUGUCGUCUGGUCUUUGGCAAUACUAAAAGAGGUGUCGUCUGAACACUUGGCUUCUGUACUGAAACCCUCCUUUUACCAAACAGAAAUUGGAAAUGAUAGUUAUCAGAACAAUAUUUUUCGACUGAAGUUAUUAAACGUCAGAUCCGUUGCAGUCAUUGAACAUCCUCUGGAUCCUAAAUUAAUAACAAUAGAGAAACCAGUAUUCAAAUUCACUCAGGUAA